rnacentral:rRNA from 1 species
CCUACGGGGGGCAGCAGUGAGGAAUAUUGGUCAAUGGGCGCGAGCCUGAACCAGCCAAGUAGCGUGAGGGAUGAAGGUUCUAUGGAUCGUAAACCUCUUUUAUAAGGGAAUAAAAUGUGGGACGUGUCCUAUUUUGUAUGUACCUUAUGAAUAAGGAUCGGCUAACUCCGUGCCAGCAGCCGCGGUAAUACGGAGGAUCCGAGCGUUAUCCGGAUUUAUUGGGUUUAAAGGUUGCGUAGACGGCUUUUUAAGUCAGCUGUGAAAGUCUGCGGCUCAACCGUAGAAUUGCAGUUGAAACUGGGGGGCUUGAGUACAUUUGAGGUAGGCGGAAUGCGUGGUGUAGCGGUGAAAUGCUUAGAUAUCACGAAGAACCCCGAUUGCGAAGGCAGCUUACUAAGCUAUGACUGACGUUGAUGCACGAAAGUGUGGGGAUCAAACAGGAUUAGAUACCCUGGUAGUC